GGGCAGUGAUGAACUAGCUCCAUGGCUGACCUUUCUAACAGUGGAGGCCUAUACACUUGAUCUGAGCUCA
rnacentral:snoRNA from 1 species